UACGUAGGGCGCAAGCGUUGUCCGGAAUUAUUGGGCGUAAAGAGCUCGUAGGCGGCUUGUCACGUCGGGUGUGAAAGCCCGGGGCUUAACCCCGGGUCUGCAUUCGAUACGGGCAGGCUAGAGUGUGGUAGGGGAGGAUCGGAAUUCCUGGUGUAGCGGUGAAAUGCGCAGAUAUCAGGAGGAACACCGGGUGGCGAAGGCGG
rnacentral:rRNA from 1 species